UUUUAAUGAUGAAUAAAUUUUACACCAUCUUUCGACUGAAAUGCUAUUGAUGUAGAUUUUCUGGCUGAUGUAUCAA